rnacentral:rRNA from 1 species
UCGAACGUGAAGACGGCGCAACCGGCAAGUAGAGUGGCGGACGGGUGAGUAAUACAUCGGAAAGUGUCCAGUAAUGGGGGAUAACUCUAGCGGAAGUUAGGCUAAUACACGCAUACGAUCUGAGGAUGAAAGCGGGGGAUGCAGCAUUAAAAGAUUCAGGCAGAGUACAGUCGAAGCCAAUGAAAGAGUUGGUGGUGCUGCACCUCACGUUAUUGGAGCGGAUGAUGUAUGAUUAGCUAGUUGGUGAGGUAAUGGCUUACCAAGGUGACGAUCAUUAGGUGGUUUGAGAGGACGGCCAGCCACACUGGGACUGAGAUCACGGCCCAGACUCCUACGGGAGGCAUCAGUGGGGAAUUUUGGACAAUGGGGGCAACCCUGAUCCAGCCAUGUCGCGUGAGUGAAGAAGGCCUUCGGGUUGUAAAGCUUUUUCGUCCGGAACGAAACAGUGGAUGCUAACACCCUCCAUUAAUGACGGUACCGGAAGAAGAAGCACCGGCUAACUACGUG